rnacentral:tRNA from 1 species
GGCCUCGUAACUCAGCUGGUAGAGCCUGCGCUGUACAGAAGUGUAGGUAACGUCCAUGCGUGGGUUCAAAUCCCACCGGGGCCA